AUCCAAGUGAAGAGUCUCAAAUAGGACGAAAUGUGCGUUUUGAAU
rfam:Schistosoma haematobium scaffold1585_17, whole genome shotgun sequence.